rnacentral:rRNA from 1 species
UACGGAGGGUGCGAGCGUUAAUCGGAAUUACUGGGCGUAAAGCGCGCGUAGGUGGUCUGUUAAGUCGGAUGUGAAAGCCCCGGGCUCAACCUGGGAACUGCAUCCGAUACUGGCAGACUAGAGUGCGGGAGAGGGAGGUAGAAUUUCCUGUGUAGCGGUGAAAUGCGUAGAUAUAGGAAGGAAUACCGGUGGCGAAGGCGGCCUCCUGGCUCGACACUGACACUGAGGUGCGAAAGCGUGGGGAGCAAACAGG